rnacentral:rRNA from 1 species
CAGUAGCCACGGUAAUUCGGAGGGUGCAAGCGUUAAUCGGAAUUACUGGGCGUAAAGCGCACGCAGGCGGUCUGACAAGUCAGAUGUGAAAUCCCCGGGCUUAACCUGGGAACUGCAUUUGAAACUGUCAGGCUGGAGUCUUGUAGAGGGGGGUGGAAUUCCAGGUGUAGCGGUGAAAUGCGUAGAGAUCUGGAGGAAUACCGGUGGCGAAGGCGGCCCCCUGGACAAAGACUGACGCUCAGGUGCGAAAGCGUGGGGAGCAAACAGGAUUAGAUACCCGCGUAGUCCCUGUCUCUUAUAC